UAUUAAUUAAUGUAAGAUGCAUAAAAAUUUUUGAAAUUUUUAGAAGUAGUUUAAUUCUAUUAUUAAUAA
rnacentral:tRNA from 1 species